CUGGAAAUGCCUUAAUCCCCAAGGAAGAAGAUGACGAAAAGGAUGGCCAGUAUGGGGAAUCUACUCAAGAAAGUAUUUGUACUAACAACAAAUAAAUGGAACAGAACAUGCAGCA